rnacentral:rRNA from 1 species
UACGUAGGGUGCAAGCGUUAAUCGGAAUUACUGGGCGUAAAGCGUGCGCAGGCGGUUCGCUAAGACCGAUGUGAAAUCCCCGGGCUUAACCUGGGAACUGCAUUGGUGACUGGCGGGCUAGAGUAUGGCAGAGGGGGGUAGAAUUCCACGUGUAGCAGUGAAAUGCGUAGAGAUCGGAGGAACACCGAAUGGCGAAGGCAGCCCUG